AUACGGAGGGUGCAAGCGUUGUACGGAAUUAUUGGGCGUAAAGAGCAUGUAGGCGGACUAUUAAGUCUGGUGUGAAAGCCCGGGGCUCAACCCCGGAAGUGCAUUGGAUACUGGUAGUCUUGAGUAUGGGAGAGGAAAGUGGAAUUCCGAGUGUAGGAGUGAAAUCCGUAGAUAUUCGGAGGAACACCAGUGGCGAAGGCGGCUUUCUGAACCAAUACUGACGCUGAGAUGCGAAAGCGUGGGGAGCGAACAGGAUUAGAAACCCUAGUAGUCC
rnacentral:rRNA from 1 species